GGGCAUGCCUGUUCGAGCGUCAUUUGUACCUUCAAGCUUUGCUUGGUGUUGGGUGUUUGUCUCACCUCUGCGCGUAGACUCGCCUCAAAACAAUUGGCAGCCGGCGUGUUGAUUUCGGAGCGCAGUACAUCUCGCGCUUUGCACUCAGAACGACGACGUCCAAAAGUACAUUUUUACACUCUUGACCUCGGAUCAGGUAGGGAUACCCGCUGAACUUAAGCAUAUCAAUAAGCGGAGGA
rnacentral:rRNA from 1 species